GACGAACCGUGCGAACGUUGUUCGGAAUCACUGGGCUUAAAGGGCGCGUAGGCGGGCGGUCAGGUCUGUGGUGAAAUCCUCCGGCUCAACCGGAGAAUAGCUGGAGAUACUGACCGUCUCGAGGGGGGUAGGGGCAUGUGGAACUUCCGGUGGAGCGGUGAAAUGCGUAGAUAUCGGAAGGAACGCCGGUGGCGAAAGCGACGUGCUGGACCCUUUCUGACGCUGAGGCGCGAAAGCCAGGGGAGCAAACGGG
rnacentral:rRNA from 1 species